GCCGCGCUCAGGCCACCGGCCUUUUAGCCCUGCGCUUCUGUCGUGUGCGAUCGCAAGGUCUGAUCUGCGGGGAUGGCUUCCUGGGAGGCUGGGGGCCGGCCCUCCAGAACCCCAACCCCGGCGGACCUUGCACCCCUGGAGUCGGUCUCUAGCCUCCUAAAGAUGCAGCUGCCUGAUUCCGACUGCAGGUUGAAAACACAAGCCACAGAAUGCUAAGAUGCUGGGAUUCCUACGGUUCCAACUGGAUUACACAUACCAUUACAAUAAGAACAUGCAGCAAAUAAGGUGGUAUACUAGACAUGUACUGUUCAGGACAAUGUACUGCCAGGACCAUGUUCAGCGUCCAUGUACUGUUCAGGACAAUGCUGAUGGUGGCAGGGACACAUGGCAUUUGCUCCAAGUACUCCUUUUAUUUAUUUAACUCAGUUCUUCAGGUAGGUACAAUGAUCUCAUUACAGAAUGUGCAGUGGUUUAGGGCCUUAUAUUUAUCCAACUUGGUUGCUAUGUGAUUAAUGGAAUCCCUUAAGAUUCCAUAUCCUGAUAAAACAGCAAGAACUAAACAGGUUAGUCUACUUUUGAUUGGCAAGGAAGAGCUGUUAAGAAUCAAAGCUCUGGCCAGGCACCAGUGGCUCAUGCCUGUGAUCCUAGCUACUCGGGCCUGAGAACAGGAUUGUGGUUCAA